rnacentral:rRNA from 1 species
AGUUCGAUUUAUGGCUCAGAUUGAACGCUGGCGGGAUGCUUUACACAUGCAAGUCGAACGGCAGCACAGACUUCGGUCUGGUGGCGAGUGGCGAACGGGUGAGUAAUGUAUCGGAACGUGCCUAGUAGCGGGGAUAACUACGCGAAAGCGUAGCUAAUACCGCAUACUGCCCUUCGGGGAAAGCGGGGGGACCUUCGGGCCUCGCACUAUUAGAGCGGCUUGAUAUCGGAUUAGCUAGUUGGUGGGGUAACGGUCACCAUGACGAUCCGUAGCUGGUUUGAGAGGACGUGACCAGCCGCCACACUGGGAUCGAGACACGGCCCAGACUACGGGAGGCAGCAGUGGGGGAAUUUUGGACAAUGGGGGGAAAACCCUGGAUCCAGCCAUCCCGCGUGUGCGAUGAAGGCCUUCGGGUUGUAAAGCACUUUUGGCAGGAAAAAGAAACGGCACGGGAUAAUACCCCGUGCAACUGACGGUACCUGCAGAAUAAGCACCGGCUAACUACGUGCCAGCAGCCGCGGUAAUACGUAGGUGCAAGCGUUAAUCGGAAUUACUGGGCGUAAAAGCGUGCGCAGGCGGUUCGAAAGAAAGAUGUGAAAUCCCAGAGCUUAACUUUGAACUGCAUUUUUAACUACCGAGCUAGAGUGUGUCAGAGGAGGGAAUUCCGCGUGUACAAGGGAAAUGCGUAGAUAUGCGGAGGAACACCGAUGGCGAAGGCAGCCUCCUGGGAUAACACUGACGCUCAUGCACGAAAGCGUGGGGAGCAACAGGAUUAGAUACCCUGGUAGUCCACGCCCUAAACGAUGUCAACUAGCUGUUGGGGCCUUCGGGCCUUGUAGGCGCAGUUAACGCGUGAAGUUGACCGCCUGGGGAGUACGGUCGCAAGAUUAAAAACCUCAAAGGAAUUGACGGGGACUCCGCACAAGCGGUGGAUGAUGUGGAUUAAUUCGAUGCAACGCGAAAAACCUUACCUACCCUUGACAUGUCUGGAAUCCCGAAGAGAUUUGGGAGUGCCUGCAAGAGAACCGGAACACAGGUGCUGCAUGGCUGUCGUCAGCUCGUGUCGUGAGAUGUUGGGUUAAGUCCCGCAACGAGCGCAACCCUUGUCAUUAGUUGCUACGAAAGGGCACUCUAAUGAGACUGCCGGUGACAAACCGAGGAAGGUGGGGAUGACGUCAAGUCCUCAUGGCCCUUAUGGGUAGGGCUUCACACGUCAUACAAUGGUCGGGACAGAGGGUCACCAACCCGCGAGGGGGAGCCAAUCCCAGAAACCCGAUCGUAGUCCGGAUCGCAGUCUGCAACUCGACUGCGUGAAGUCGGAAUCGCUAGUAAUCGCGGAUCAGCAUGUCGCGAAUACGUUCCCGGUCUUGUACACACCGCCCGUCACACCAUGGGAGUGGGUUUUACCAGAAGUAGUUAGCCUAACCGUAAGGAGGGCGAUUACCACGGUAGGAUUCAUGACUGGGGUGAAGUCGUAACAAGGUAACCCC